rnacentral:rRNA from 1 species
CCUACGGGAGGCAGCAGUGAGGAAUCUUGCGCAAUGGGGGAAACCCUGACGCAGCCACGCCGCGUGCCGGAAGACGGCCCUAUGGGUUGUAAACGGCUUUUGGUCGGGAAGAAUCUGGGGGUUUCGAUCUCCACUGACGGUACCGAUUGAAUAAGCACCGGCUAACUCCGUGCCAGCAGCCGCGGUAAUACGGAGGGUGCAAGCGUUGUCCGGAAUCAUUGGGUGUAAAGGGUGCGCAGGCGGGCGCCUAAGUCGGAGGUGAAAUCUUGCCGCUUAACGGUAAAAUUGCCCCCGAUACUGGGUGUCUUGAAUCUGACAGAGGUCGGUGGAAUUCGUAGUGUAGCGGUGAAAUGCAUAGAUAUUACGAAGAACACCAGUGGCGAAGGCGGCCGGCUGGGUCAGUAUUGACGCUGAGGCACGAGAGCGUGGGGAGCGAACAGGAUUAGAUACCCUGGUAGUCCACGCCGUAAACGAUGGAUACUAGCUGUCCGGCCUGCAUUGGCAGGCUGGGUGGCCAAGCGAAAGUGAUAAGUAUCCCACCUGGGGAGUACGUUCGCAAGAAUGAAACUCAAAGGAAUUGACGGGG